GACGAACGCUGGCGGCGUGCCUAAUACAUGCAAGUAGGACGCAGUUGCGAACGGGUGAGUAACGCGUAGGUAACUACCUAUUAGAGGGGGAUAACUAUUGGAAACGAUAGCUAAUACCGCCUACUAGUAGAUGGACCUGCGUUGUAUUAGCUAGUAGGUAGGGUAAUGGCCUACCUAGGCAACGAUACAUAGCCGGCGUGAGGAGGUGGACGGGCAAACCUGCACUUGGACACGGGCCAGACUCCUAAGGGAGGGAGCAGUAGGGAAACUUCGGAAAUGGGGGGAACCCUGACCGAGGAACGCCGGGUGAGUGAAGGAGGUUUUCGGAUCGUAAAGCUCUGUUGUGAAGGAAGCGGUACUUAACCAGAAAGGGACGGCUAACUACGUGCCAGCAGCCGCGGUAAUAC
rnacentral:rRNA from 1 species